UAAGAGAAAAACACAAUCAUAUUAAUAGUCAUAGAAAAUAUCUGAAAUAUUCAACAUUCACUUGUGGUAAAAAUACUCUUAGCAAGUUAAGACCAUAAGGAUAAUGUGGUUAUCGAUAGUCAUAAAAAUCCUAUGGCAAAUAUUAAUUAAGGGUGAAACUUUUGGGGGGUAAUCUCUUGUGUUCUGUAUUGUCUUUGUAUUAACGCAAAUGCUGAUUUUUCUGAGGGCAGUGAUGUGAGUACAGGGCAGACUUUGGUAUCGUUGUUUUCAUUAAGCACCACUUGUCUUACUGUUUUGCAAAAUCUCCUCCAUUACUUUCUGAUUGGAUUAGUGAAGAGCUGAACAGCCAAUAGCUAGGCAGGAGAGAAUGGGCGGUACAUCCGGCCGAGGUGGGAACUCUGGGAAAGAAUCAGACGAUGGUGACUCUUCAGUCAGGCAUGGGAGAAGAAACAGGUGUGGGUACUGAGGAGAGCUAAUGAGCCUGCGAUGGUGGCCUGGCAUGAAUGUCCUCUGAGAGGUCCUACCAGCAGCUGACUAAGACAGAGGAAGAUACUGACACCUGACCAUUGGUCUGAAGUUGGGGACCCCUAAGGUUAAUUAGGGGCAGGAUUGAAGAAGCUGAAAGGAGAGCGACCCCAUAGGAAGACCAGCAGUCUCAACUUACCCAGACCCUAGAGAACUCACAGAGCCUGAGCCAUCAACGAGGAGCAUACAUAGGCCGGUCUUCGUGGUCUGGCUGAAGUGAGAGAAGAUGCACUUAAUUCUCAAGAGACUUGAGGCCCCAGGGAAGGGGGCAGCAUGGCGGGGGGGUGGGGAAAGCACCAUCUCAUAGGCAAGUGGGAGGAGGAAUGGAUGAGGAACUGUGGGUCAGGGAGACUGAGGGGGGCAAAGACUGGAAUGUAAAUAAAUAAAAUAAACUUAUUGAAACAAA